rnacentral:rRNA from 1 species
CGAAGGGGCUAGCGUUGCUCGGAAUGACUGGGCGUAAAGGGCGCGUAGGCGGCACGGACAGUCAGGCGUGAAAUUCCUUGGGCUUAACCUGGGGGCUGCGUUUGAUACGUUCGAGCUAGAGGAUGGAAGAGGCUCGUGGAAUUCCCAGUGUAGAGGUGAAAUUCGUAGAUAUUGGGAAGAACACCGGUGGCGAAGGCGGCGAGCUGGUCCAUUACUGACGCUGAGGCGCGAAAAGACGUGGGGAGCAAACAGGAUU